UACGGAGGGUGCAAACGUUGCUCGGAAUCAUUGGGCGUAAAGCGCACGUAGGCGGUUUGUCGCGUCGGGAGUGAAAUCCACUGGCUUAACUGGUGGCUUGCUUUCGAUACGGGCAGACUAGAGGUAUUCAGGGGAGAACGGAAUUCCUGGUGUAGCGGUGAAAUGCGCAGAUAUCAGGAGGAACACCGGUGGCGAAAGCGGUUCUCUGGGAAUGACCUGACGCUGAGGAGCGAAAGUGUGGGGAGCGAACAGG
rnacentral:rRNA from 1 species